GAAAUGCGAUAAGUAAUGUGAAUUGCAGAAUUCAGUGAAUCAUCGAAUCUUUGAACGCACCUUGCGCUCCUUGGUAUUCCUUGGAGCAUGCCUGUUUGAGUAUCAUGAAAUCUUCAAAGUAAAUCUUUUGUUAACUCAAUUGGUUUCUACUUUGGUAUUGGAGGUCUUUGCAGCUUCACACCUGCUCCUCUUUGUUCAUUAGCUGGAUCUCAGUGUUAUGCUUGGUUCCACUCGGCGUGAUAAGUUAUCUAUCGCUGAGGACACUGUAAAAGGUGGCCAAGGUAAAUGCAGAUGACCGCUUCUAAUAGUCCAUUGACUUGGACAAUACUUUUAUGAUCUGAUCUCAAAUCAGGUAGGACUACCCGCUGAACUUAAGC
rnacentral:misc_RNA from 1 species